CCUCCUUUCUCGCUCGCCGCCGCCACCACCCACGUCGGCCACUUCUCUGGGGACCUCCAGCGCCGUCCAGCAUGCCCCCGAGCUCCCCACGGUCCACGCCUCCCUCCCCUCCGGCCAGAGUCUCCGCUCCCGUCCUCUACCGCCCGCUCGCAAGCCCAUCCCCCAUGGCUAGGGUUUCGGGUAGGGCUUCGCAGCCGCGUCUCCGGCUGCCCCAGGUUCGUUCCUCGUUCGUUCUUGUUCUCCCUUUAUCUAACUAAUCAUGUUUAGGUUUUUUAGGGGAUAAACAAGGGGAGGUAUAGCAGGGCGUUGGACAUUUGCGGGAGUGGGGGAGAUCGAUGUGGACGAGGACUGUCUGGUGCACUGCUGGUGCGGGGAGGGCAGGGGAGAGGGAUGGCAGCUGCGCUGCUAUUAGCUGGAUAUAGCACUGCUCCUUUCCUGUUGUUUGUUGAUUGAUGCUACUGCUGCUGCUACUUUGAUGCAGUUGCUGCUAAUUUGAUGUGGAGGAUGUGCAGGGACGGACGACGAGCGAGCAGAGGAUUUAUCUGGGACCUAAAUUUGGCAGGUAAAAAUUGGUCUGUUUGCCGCUAGCUGGCUUCAUGUGAUGCUAUAGUGUGCUAUGGAGAGGUACAGAGGUUAUUUUACAGGACCAUGAAGGUUCAUGAUUGGCAAUUGAUCUUGGGCUAUUGGCUUAUUAUGAUCAAAACUGAGAGUAUAUGCGCCACUAUUAGUGGUCUUGCAGAGUUGGAAUGUUAUGCUUCACUGUAAUUGCUUUACUGAAUCUACAGACUAAGAAAAUUUCUAUUUCUUGUGUCAGGCAAAUGGAUGAGCUCUCACAUCCCUCUCGGUCUCCUUUGAUUUGUUGCAGAUUUCUUUGAAGUCCAUGACCUCUCUGUAUGUUGAUUGCACCCAUGUACUAUAUACUUCCAAUUUCUUCUUUAUCGUGUAUAUACCAAUUGUUUUCCUUUACUUUGUGCACAGUGAUUUUGCUCUAGCACUAAUAUAAAUUUUGGAUUCAUAAUUGCAGCCUAUCAUUAAUUUGCCGCAAAACUACAACCAAUGUCAAAAUCCUUAUUUUAGUUAGGACAAAUAACUAUUUAAAAACCCAAAACUAGCUGCAUUCAAUAUUUGAUAGGUUAAUUCCGUCAUUCAGUAUUUGGAGUAGAUGCUACAGUUAUAAUGAAACAGUAGGAUUCCUGUAAUUGUGCACAGCAGCAGCGAGGCGCUCUAAAUUUCAACAUGACACCGAACUUCAAACAGAACGCCUCCAUGGUUAAUGAUGUGCUCUUAGAUUAUUAGUUUCUUUGAAUUUAUCUGCUUCCAUUAGAUUAAGGUUAUAAUGCAAACAUAUAGAUAGAUGUAUCAAUCCAUUCAGACACAGUUUUCUGUUUCCUAGCCUCCAUGUGUAUGUAAUAUUAUUAUUUUGGAAAAGGAUCAUUUAUUAAGGCAACAAGCCAACACAAAUAAGAAAACUUGGCCGCUACAUGUUACUAACUCUAAACUGAAAAGGUUCUAAAUCAACUGACUUGACCGGAGCUCUAUCUUAAAGAUUUGAUCAUAACAGAGUUUGGCAGGUUUCCCCGAAAGAAAAAAGCAGAGUUUGGCAGGUUAGGUGAGACACGUCAUUAGAUUUGUUAUGAGCAUUGCGAUAUCCUACGUUAGACAGGUACGCAAAUUAAUCAAAAUUUUCAUUUAACAUGCAGUAGAAACAAAUAUAUGUAAUUGUCAAUAUCAGUGUGCCGGUGAAGAAACUCAGUCACUGCCAAUGUACUAUUCUCCCAUGCUAAAGCUGAAAAAAACUGCAUGCACAUUUGUUUGUUUCAGCACAAGAAAACAUUCAAAAUUAAUAUACCUAUCGCAUCUCAUGGUGUAUGAUUAACUUGCACUACAUUGUUUCUAUUUCCAAAAUUUAUUAUUCAUGGUCGGUUAUUGUCGUUUUAAUACAAUCAACCUUUUCAAAUAUAUUUGGAUUAUAUUAGGAAACUGCAUCUAUGUGUUUCUGAGUUAGAGCUCCUAACAGGCUACUUCUGCUUCCUUAGUUGCUUCCAUUUUAACUUUAGAUCGUUAUUAAGAUGGACCUCCGAGCCAUAUAGUCCAUAAGGAAGUGUUCAGAUACUUGUAGAUCAUGCAAGUGAAGAGUGGCUUUAAUACUUUUGAGUGGACAUAAAGUAAUUUUAAGAUCAAUAGUUGAUGUUCUCGCUCUUAAAAAAAUACUGACAAUUGAUGCCAACGACCCGAAUGGUCCAACACACAAUAUUUAUUCUUCUUCGUAAAAGAAUUAUGUUUCUAAUUAUUAUAUAGGAGUGCACAUCAAAUGUUUUCAUUUGGUGCAUCAGUUCAAAGCAAGCCAGAAAAAUUAAGUCUUCUAUUUUUGUAGAUCAGAAUCCUAGACGUAGUCAGUUUAUAUCAUUUUUCCGGUACCUCUAUUGUGCAUAUAUUUCUCAAACGAAUUCUGCCAUCGAUUAGGAGUGAAAUCACCAUGACAUUUACAUGCUUUGUCUUCCAUGCUCAGGUCAAUGAUACUUGAAAUUCUUGGGACUUCUUUCGAAUCGAAACAUUACAAGAUAAGCUUAUGGUGACUUUAUGAGGUUUUGGCAUUGGACCGUUUGAAACUUUAGAUUGGCAGAGAGAUAGAGACCCUGUGGGCCUUGGCAGUGGCGAGCUAGGUGCCAGCGAGGUAGGCGACAUCGUCAACGAGGGCCAUCAUGGCCUCCACCUGCGCCCUCUUGCAGGUGGACUGCUGGUCAUCGAUGUGGCGGGUCGGGCUCUUGCAGCAACAUCUAUGAUAUUCUCUGGACGAGCUACAGGUAGGCCAGUAGAUGAGGAUUCGACGACCACCACCGAGGUAUGCCCUCCUCUCCUUGCCCUUGGGCUGGCAUCUCUGAUCAGGCUGUAAUCUGCUGCUGUAGUGUUGCUCUUUGGGGAUUCCUAUGGGGUCUAUUUUUGAUUGGUCAAAGCUGGUAUGUUGGCCACCGGUUGGUUUAACAUGAUGCUAUAAUGCGCUACGGAGAGAUAUGUUAUUCCAAUACAAGCGACCGGUCAGUUAAUUUGAGGAUUUUUGCCUUUUGUUCCUCAGGCCUAUAGCUUUGUGGUUUCAGUCCGACAGUUAAAAGUUGCAUUGGCUUGUAAAAAUUCAUGUGACUGGACCAGUAGGUGAGGAUGAUCUCAUAUGGAAAAUACUGCUCCAUGGUAUUAAAAUCUGUUAUAGGUGUUGGAAGUCAAUGCUAGGAGCUCCUGGGAUGUGCUCAUGCAUGCUUGGUCAGAACUUUUCUUUUGAAUCAAUUGAUGAAUCGAUAGCAUCAGAUAUGUCGUAUGUGUACUCCACUACGUACGACAGGGUGAAAACAAGUUUGAUCGCUGGAGAUGGAUUUCUAUCCUGUUGGUACAAUUGUAUGUUCAGGUGGUUCUUUCAUGUCUGUUCUCUCUAGCUUCUUGAUGUUUUCUUUCUCGGGUGUAAUUUAGUUGCCAUUUGUAAUAGCCAAAUUUUCAUGUCAAACAUGAUUUAAAGAUUUUCUAUGCCAGUUGACA